rnacentral:rRNA from 1 species
AAGCAGGUCAUAGUGAUCCGGUGGUUCUGAAUGGAAGGGCCAUCGCUCAACGGAUAAAAGGUACUCCGGGGAUAACAGGCUGAUACCGCCCAAGAGUUCAUAUCGACGGCGGUGUUUGGCACCUCGAUGUCGGCUCAUCACAUCCUGGGGCUGAAGUAGGUCCCAAGGGUAUGGCUGUUCGCCAUUUAAAGUGGUACGCGAGCUGGGUUUAGAACGUCGUGAGACAGUUCGGUCCCUAUCUGCCGUGGGCGCUGGAGAACUGAGGGGGGCUGCUCCUAGUACGAGAGGACCGGAGUGGACGCAUCACUGGUGUUCGGGUUGUCAUGCCAAUGGCACUGCCCGGUAGCUAAAUGCGGAAGAGAUAAGUGCUGAAAGCAUCUAAGCACGAAACUUGCCCCGAGAUGAGUUCUCCCUGACUCCUUGAGAGUCCUGAAGGAACGUUGAAGACGACGACGUUGAUAGGCCGGGUGUGUAAGCGCAGCGAUGCGUUGAGCUAACCGGUACUAAUGAACCGUGAGGCUUAACCUUACAACGCCGAAGGUGUUU